rnacentral:lncRNA from 1 species
AAGUUCCCAUAACAUGAGGCUUAUCCACCUAGUUUCUUGCCAAGUCAUAUUCAAGGGGCCAGAAGGACCAGGAGAGAAGUGAUGCUUUCAAAGGCCAAGCCAGGCCAGAAGAGGUUACCCAGCAGGCUUGACAGCUUGCUGAGAGAGAUCUAGAAAAUAGAUCUAUUUAGAGGGAGAGAUCAAGGAAAGCAACCAAGAAAUGCACAGAGAAAUGAGACCAAGUGAAGCUCAGCUUCAAGGGAUUGGGUCACAAGUAAGAAGCUGGUAAGACCAGAACAGGAGGUAUUCAAGGCAAAGUCACUUAGGCAAUUAGUUCAAAACUGAGAUUCAAACAAUGGCAGGGUUUGAGAGGCCUAUUCCAAUCUUGUGCCCACUUUGCAGCUUCCAUAUGCAUGUAACAUUUCAAAGAAUA